UAAGGAUGGUAUCGCCGCUUGCUGAGAUGAUCCGUAGAACUAUGUUCUUUGGUGCAGGCAUACGUAAUUGUGAGUUAAUUCUCUGUAUUCCUUUGCCGGCCGUCGAGUGUCUGUUGUUACAGGUGGUUGUGUGUUAAUUAGAUGGCUGUGAAACAUUACGGAAUUAGAGUGGAAGUAAUCACGUACCCACACUCACAAUUUGUAAAUUUUCAUGAUUGUCUGGACGACUCACAUUGGGCAAAAUUGUAUUUGAGAAACUUGUAACGUGCAUUACAAGUUGAGGAAACCACUAAGACGGAGAGGAUCUGGAUGGCCGUUGAAGAAAAGAUGGAGACACCAGCAGAACCUAGACAAAUGAACAGGCUCCUGCACCUCGACGGUCACACUCUCAGCGUGGUUUGGUACUCCUGUGCUGUUGGUGGUUGUUGCUUUAGUCGGCGAUACCGGGGACUUGUUGGAGGUCGCAGAUGCGUUACUGCUGGCGUGGCUUCCCCGUCGUGAACCUUGAUGAAACAGUUGAUUCAACACAACUGUCUAUAUGAAUGUUUAAUUGUUAAUUACAUUAUCUUUAUGUGUCAAUGUAUAACUCUGGCCAUUUCUUAACCUUUAAUGGUUCACCGUAUGUUAUAGGUAACUAAUUCGCUAUAUUUAUACAGCAUUGUUUUAUAUUUGCCUCAGGGGCUCACUACGGUGAGUACGGGGAGCGGCGUCCCCGAGCUACCCUGUGUCGAGGGUUAUAGUCAGGCCACCCAGUCUCCAGGGGACAUAAAUAUGGAGACCCGGUCCUCCAGGUUGGGGGUUGGGCGUGGGGCUAAUAACCCCAUAUCAUAAAAAAAGAAAGAGGUGAGCCAUUGAGUGAAAGGACUGCGCCCUGAUUUCUUCUCCAUGGAAAUGGAAGUGAUGAUGUGUCACUGGAUCAGUAAAGUCUCAAUUGUUCUGGCAGCUAUGUAGCGGAAUAGAAGUUCUACCCAUUACUACUUGUUCUAUUUGACAUCUAUUUAGAAGUAAUAAAAGUGCAGCACACCCCUGGAGUUGAUCUUAUAUAUUUAAAGUCAGGUUCCAAAUAUUUGAAAAAUAUAAGAAAUCCUUCAUAAUUUUUUUCUAGUAAUUAACAUAUGACACUAUUACAUGUUAACAAAUUGAGAUAUUUACAUGACGUGAACAUAGCGAAAAAAAUAAUGCUGAAACAUAACUACAGAUUUUAAAUUUGGCAUUUCUAUAAGAUAUGAAAUGCAUAUCACAAUUUUGGGAAUUCUGGUUUUAAAGUCCUGUUCCAAUGACAGGCUGAAACUUUAUGCGGUAUUCUUUAAUCCUGUCGAAGAUGUCAUUCACAUCUCUACUAUUCAGUAUUACAAAAAACAAUGUUAAAAGAGUGUUGGUAAUUAACCAAAAGAUCGGCCGGUUACAAGUUUCUUCAUCAUGUUUACAUAAACUGUUUAUAGCACAGCUUGUUAUAAAUAUGUAAAAAAAAAUUCAUAAUUAAAAUUAUUAGUAUUAAGAACUUGCAGUUACUAAUAUAUUAAACAAAUAAUACAUGAGUGUGACAAAAUUUAAGCAAUGAAUAUAAAUAUAUCUUUUGUGUACUGAAAGUUGUUGGGUUCUCGUAUUAUGAGACACCGGAUGGUUGAAAGUUGUAAACACUGCUCGUUGUGUCUUCUUUCAGUUGGCGGUAUUCUCUGAAUAUUAUGUGGCUAUACAUAUUGCAGGUAUUUUUAGAAAUAAAAUCUAGGUUAAGUUUAAAAAUUAUUAGAACCUAACAGAAACUUGUUGUCUUAGGCAGUUGUUUAGUAAUUUUUCUGCAUUUCCAAGUAAGUAGCAUUGGCAUGGUAUUUGUACGCCGUUGUCACAGUAAGUAGUAAAUUUUAGCCAUAAUUUACGCUUAUAAGUAUAUUUCUUACCCAAUGACUGAGGUGACUGUGGUCUCAGUGAUGCCAUGCUGGCAUGGCGGCUUGGACCUCGGACGCUCGCGCGGCUUCCUCGGCGGUCAGUACCGUGCAGCAGUUUGCUCUCUCUCAAAAGCGACGCGUUCAUCAAUCGAGGGUUUGGUGUAUUGAAAAUUGUUCGAUUCUCUCUCCAUCGGGCUCUGAUUUAACAAAUAAUGUCAAAUUAUCAGUGGUAAUUACACGUAGCGGUUUUAAUAAUGUACUUGUUUCAGUUGGCAUUGAUUUUAGCUGAGGAAAAGCUGUUUGAAGUAAUGAGCGAAAGAGAGGAAGGAGAAAUCACGGAGGACACACAGAAAAACAGGCAUUUAUAUGUAUGAUAAACGUACUUAUUAAUAGAGAUUGCUGUCAUUUCUUUUUUAGAAGAACAUAAUGAACUUAUCACAGAACCAACAAACAAACAGUAUGGUUCAGGUUGCUGGAAGAGUUGAUUGUUCUGUCUGAAAUCUUUUGUGACCUGAAGAUUCAUCGCUGUGUUAUAAGAUUCUCACCAUUGAGCCAUAUCCUGUCUAUGUUAAAUCCAGUCCACAUCUUCAUAGACUGUUUAUCCAAGAAACAUUUUAAACUCUUAAAGUCCCAUGGUAUUAAAAGUACCACUUAACAAUCUGUAAUCCCACAUUUUGACCACAGAUUAUGUGAUGUACCUUUGUAAUAAAAACAGGUUUCCUUUGAGGUAGGGAUUGAUAUUUAAAUAUUUAGCUUCAGCUUCAAAAGAUUAUUACUAUCAUUACAUCCAAUCCUCUGUCUUUGAGGUAAUUUCUUUCUCAUGUGCAACAAUUUUUAAAAAUUUAAUACGAGGUUUUUCUGUUUUAUUUAUUCAGGUUUUUCUGAAUGAUUUUCCUUUAUUUAGGGGGCCAAACUGAAUAUGAAAGGUUUGUUGUAAUUAAACUUGGAAUCCUAUGUUAAACUUCUGUUUUUAGUUGGACAAAUCCAUAAUGGUAGGAGGUGUUGCUUGGUACGCAGACAUUUUACAUUUAUUCAUGCAUUUACAGUAAGCGUGAUUUUAAUGAAAGCUGUGUGAUGCUCUGAACAUUGUCAUAACAGUGGGUCAUAUUUGCAUACGUGCACAAAGAAUGCUACAGUGCCAGCAAACAGAUUUUAUUAUUAGCAGUUUAGAUUUGUUAUUAUAAAGAUAUAUACAAUCACAUGCUCCACUCUUGCAGAGAUAUUGUUGAUGUGGGGACAGAUAUAAAUGAAUCAAGCGAUAUAAGAAUUCUCAAUCUUAACAUUCAAGUGUGAGAGCAUUACGCAGAGACAUGAAUGCAAAUAGCCAUAUUUAGAAGUAUGAAUUUGCAAGUUUUCUGAUAAUAUCAACAUGAUAGAUCAGAAUGUGAGAACAUUUAAAUCUUGUGUAAAAUCAGGUGAGAAAUUUUGGCGAAGACAAGCGUGUAUAUGCAUGAAAAGCACAAAACCAUAAAUAAAUAAGGCAGUUAUGUGGGACAUAACCUCAAAAAUUAUGUUGGUGGUGAUAUAAUUAUUUAUUUCAUUUAUGAACGUGCUUGACAAACUCAAUACAGGCAAGUAAGUGGUAGGAUGAGAACAAGAUGAUAAUCAAAGGCAGUAAGAACUACAGAUAAAAGGGACCAAGUGUACAAAAUGAAAGGUUGUAUGUUAAUUAAUGAGUUAUUUGAAAGAGUGAAAAAUGUCAGUAAAUGAAGAUUUUAGUGCUUGUGGAGAUGAUAUUUUCAACAGAAGCAGAAAAAUAUCUAACUAUCCUUGUUUGUUUGUGUAUUAACAGAUUCGAUAGUGAAAGAAUAACAAAUUUUAUUUUUGGAAACAUUGAUGAGGAAGGUGGGAGCAUUGAGAUUCCACCACCUGGAAUAAAGUAUUGAAGCAUUCAAUCUAGAUAAUUUGCCUUCAUAAUUAUUGCCACAUAAGCAGAUGUGUUGUGGCAAUCCGUCAAUGUAAUUGACUUCCGAAUUACAUACUCAUGUCUGAGUUGCACAUGUGCGCUGUACAAACUGAAACCUAUUAACUAUGGAAGAAUUAACGAUGUGAUAUAUCACACAAAACUAUUUUUUAAACCUCGAGAAAUUAUAAAAUGAAGAGAGCUUGCAGUACCAACUUAGAGAUAUUUGUCACGUAGGAUACUUGAUUAAAAUGUCACAUAAUUUGUUAAUACUGAUUGUUUUACAAGUAAAGAAUGUAAUUGUGGUUUUGAAAAAUAAACAUUCAUAUUGUUAUACAAA